rnacentral:lncRNA from 12 species
AACUGCUCAAAGUGUUUGAUUUCCCUUGAUUAUGUUGGGCCUCUCUGCACUCACUUCCCACCCUGCCCAUCCCAGUGGUGCUUGCUAAUGCCCUCUAUUUUUGGAUUCAACCCUCCUUAAUCUCUGAGCUAGACUAGAGAAGAAGUAUGACUGUAGCCUCAGCCCACCAGUCCAUGUGGAAAUGUAGUCUUGCUGGCCUCAGCAAUGACUGGUGAGUGCCCAAGACACCAUCAUGCCAUCCAGUCACAGCUUUCCCUGACACCCGGUUUCAAGAUGUAGGUUUUACUAUUGUUCAUGUAUGGUGAGGACAACAGACCAAAAAAAAACUGCCACCGAAAAGAUAGUUGUGCUCAUAGAUCCCCAGAGAAGGGGCCACACCUACCACGGGGUAUUGGUCAAGGGGCAGAGAGAGUGACGGGAAAACUAUAGGCAAGAGCCUUUACUGUGGAUUUUGCAAGAAGGCUUGGAGUAAGCAGGUUUAUGGUUGGCUUGUGUGAAUAAGUUGAGUGGGCUCUGAGGCAGAAGGGCUGUCCCUACUUGUCUAAUACCUGGCCCUUGGGCGAUUAGGACAGAGUAUCAGAGUUGAGGUGAGAGCCCAGCAAAGGAGGUGUUGAGAGUAUGACACCAGCUUGUCUAGUGUGCAUUUGAAAGGCGUGCCCCCUGGCUAAUGAUUUAUUAUCUCUAGGAUUAGCUAGCCCUAGGAGCAGCAUUCUCUUGGGGUCAGCAAGGGCCAGAUGUCAAAGCAGUAGAACACAGACAAAAGACACGAUUAAUACAUACCUGUUAUAUGGUCAUACUCUGUGACUGGACUGCUUUUGCUGCUCAGCUGUCCUGUACUAAUACAAGAAUCAUACUCCAGUUCUGGCUCCCACCAGGCCCUCCUUGGCUAACCUGUCCUUUUCUCUGUUAUCUUCAGUCACAGGCCAAAGUCCUGGGAUGAGUCCCUGUUUGUCUAGAACUAUGAUGCCACUGCCCACCUCAUUUGGAGGCUUGUCCCAUUCAAGCUCUUGGCCAGAUAAUUAUUUUCUUUUUCUCAUUUCACGUGUGACUCAACAUAUGGACCAAAUCAUAGCAAAGGGCACACACCUGGGAUGCAGCAUUAAGAACAGGACAACUUGACAUUUGGGAGAAACUGUCACCAACUCAAUAUUGGAGUAUCUGAAGCUGUGACUGGAAGAUGCCUUUAGAUCUCCACAAAACCUUCCGGCCACCUCCUCCUUUUCUAAUUAAACCCACUUUUCUUCAAGCACUGGCAUUUGAGAGAUGAAUCAGAAACACUGCUCCUUAUUCUGUGGUAUUAUUUUUUUUCUGGUUUAAUUACUAGUAUUGCAACAGUAUUUUUUCUGCCGUUUUUCUUCACAAAUAUAUGUUAUUUCAGUUACAUUAUGGUUUAAAUAGGCUUUUGAGUGGGAGCCAGGGAACCUAACUGUGAUUUUCAAUAUGGUUUCUAUGGGAAAAUGUAAUAUUCACUUCUAAACAACCCUCUGAAACAUGAGCAUGUGGAAUACAGCCUGUUUAUGAAGUGAAGGUGGUCUCUUUGGUUUUUAUUUUGUAAACAAUUUCAUAUGAUUUACUGUGUUCCUUUGAGAUGGUAUAUAUUAGGCUGGUAGGGUAGACCCUAUGGCCCAGAGAGGUUAGGUCAGCUGAAAUAGGUCACAAAGGAGAGCAGGGCCCGAGUCUCUAGUCUCUUUACUCUUAACCCACUCCUUCUUCUUUGAUCGGGGCUUUCUAGAUUGGUGCCCAUUUGGGAGGACUAUGCAUCAUGCAUGCAUGUACCUGCCUAGAUUCAGUAGAAGAUGGCCAGCUACGCAUGACUUCUAAGACCCCUCAGCCACCAGUCAUCCACUUUUUUCUUGUACCCACAACAUUUCCCCUUUGGGGGAAGCAUGCCUUCUGGUAAUGCCAUGAGGAGCCCACAGGGGCUGUGAGGCUGUGUAUGAUGGAAAGAGGUGAUUAAUACCUCUUCUCCCACCAGGGCCACAUUACUGGAUACUGCAAAUGCCAAGCUUUGUUGGUUCAUUUAUUCAACAAAUAUUUGCCAAGGGCCUGCUACAUUCCUGUGCUAGGUGCUGAAUGACACAGCAGUGAGCAAACAUAAAGGAGGUCCCUGCUCUCACAGAGUUUACAGUCCAAUGAGAAGACAUUUAAACAAAACAGCCACAAAAAAAGUGUAAUAUGUGCUCUCACAGGGAAAAAUCAUGGCUGGUAGAAGCAUGCUAAUCAGAUGAUACAGCAUAAGGUAGGAUGCAGUCAGAAUCUUUGCUUCUGUUUGAAUAGAAUCUCUCUUCUAUUAAAAAAAAUUAAUCAGACAGAAACUAUGUACCCAGCACUGUGCUAGACCCUUCAAAGUGCUCACAAAUGAGUUAAAUUUUUCUGUGUAACAAACUACCCCCCAAACAAUAAACAUUUGUUCUUUCUCA